CAGCUGCAUCUUUUCCAUUCAUGUAGCAUUAAUUUUAAACGUUUCUUUGCGCCGUUUAUUUCAGCCAAUCAGCGCCGUGACACUGCCCCUUAAGGUUGUCCUUCUAAAUACUUGAGCUCUUAACGCGCAAGGAAUGUUGGGUUAUUGCUUAUUUAGACUCAUAAACUUUGAAGUUUGGCUUUGCAAGACAUAUACUGUAGAAGACUCACGACAGAAAACAUACUUGGCCCUAAAUAGGGCCUAAUAGGUGAAAAUCCAUCUCCCUUGUGCGCUCAGAGUUUAAGGUUUAAAGUUUUGGAAGGACAACCUUAAUUGAAUUAGCUGUAUAUCUCACUCGAGAACAUUUUCUCCUUAUAUUUACCAAAUAUAGACAUUGAGUUAUAUCAUAUAUGUACUAUUUAAAACACGAGUAGGAGUGUUUUAUCAGAUAUAUAACGCGAGGCGCAGCCGAGCGUUAUAUAUCUGAUAAAACACGACAAAGAGUGUUUUGAAUAGCUUAAAAUACGACUACAAAAGAAU